UGUAGAUAACCAAACUGGUAUUUUCAAAUAAUGUUGCUCUUAAAUUUUAGUCUGUACUAACAGUAACGCAUUCCUAAUGUAGUCCCUCUGCAAAUAUGUCUCUCCCCCUUCUUGUACCAUCCCAAUUGCAGAUCACGACCCUCCAGUGUUAGUAAUCUUGUAUUCCUCAAAUUAAUCCACCCUUUCACCCACGUAAGUGCCGAUGCUUGGUAGUAUAGCACCCAAUUUGGAAGACCAAAACCCACCUCUACUUUUAACAUCUUGUAGCAUUUUUAAUUUUAUUCUCGCUUUUUUAACUUGCCAUACAGAUUUUAAUAUCUUAUUUAAUGCUUCAAAAAAUGUCCCCCCCAGUUCUUAUUUCAGGAAGUGACACGGACUCCAACCGUUCAGACCAGGGGAGCAACCAGGCCGCUUAGCAGCCCCAUUGCAGGCUCCGCCUGUCUUGGUCCCACUAACCCUUGGGUGCUUCUUCCCUCCUCUUUGCAGUGGAGACUCCCAGC